rnacentral:rRNA from 1 species
UACGUAGGGUGCAAGCGUUGUCCGGAAUUAUUGGGCGUAAAGAGCUCGUAGGCGGUCUGUCGCGUCGGCUGUGAAAUCCCGAGGCUCAACCUCGGGUCUGCAGUCGAUACGGGCAAACUAGAGUAUUGCAGGGGAGACUGGAAUUCCUGGUGUAGCGGUGAAAUGCGCAGAUAUCAGGAGGAACACCGGUGGCGAAGGCGGGUCUCUGGGCAAUAACUGACGCUGAGGAGCGAAAGCGUGGGGAGCGAAUAGG